GAAAUUUGAUUUAUUAAAUUAUAGUUUAUACACAAUACAAUGCAUCUGUUCAUCAAAGAUUAGCAGGCCGUAUCUUAGUCUAUUCUUAGGCAAUUGCAUAACAUUUAUUUUUAGAUUAUUAGGAAUAGUGCCCUAGAGGGGGGUUAGAGUAUUGUUGAUGAAAUUGAGAGAACGCAUCGAUGUAUCGGAUGCAAGAACAAUUAGCUAUUAUUUACUGUUUUCGAACCAUAUUCGAAAAAAUCUUUUUAUGUUAACGGAUAUUGACAUAGAUAUACGUUUCUUUGGAAUAGUGAUUGGAUAUUGUUCAUUUGAUUGAGUUAUUAUCAUCACUUCAAUGUCACUUUCCAAGUGCGUGCUAUGGGUACGCACCCAGGUAAACACAGAUAUCGUAUUAUGAGCUUUAAUAUUUCGAAACUGGAUUAACUCUUCUUGUAGAGUUGAGAACAAGAACAUAGAUGUUCAGCUCACGCUAUGAGAAUGACUGAUUGACCUUAUUUCGAUAUGGAGACAUUCGGCCAUGACAGCAUUUACAAGUGCGCGAUCCCACAAUGCAACGCAUAUAUGUAAACAAUAACAAUAUUGGAAUAGAACCACGAUUGAGUAGACUAAGUGUGUAAACGUUCGUUUUAUAUUUACUUCACAACUUGAAUUAAUAAAUAACUGUUGGUCAGCUUUUUCCAAAUGUCAGUAUCAUUACAGUUUCCCGUACAUUAUGCCCGCCAGUUUUAUCGCUAUGUCGACGGCAUUCAAUAUUUCAUAAACACUACGUUUGAACUCAUGCUAUAUCAGCACACUAGCUAUGCAUACACAUUCCAUUUGCGUCGGCCUUUAAUGCUUAAUUUCUUUGAUAAGCAGCCGAUAAGCAUGUUUCUACCGCCCAGGCUCGGAAGUCAGUGAUCGUGAUACAUGAGAUAUAUACAAAUUUGUUAUGGUUUUAUGCAGGACCACUGCGUCUGGUGGACACUUUGCUUCAACGUAGAUAUAUAUAGUUCCAGUUUAGUCCUUACAAUGUAUUAUUUCCGCAGUUCUUCAACACUAGUCCAAGGGCACUGAGGGAACGCUUAGAGCAUACAGACACACCGGGUUUACACUAGGCUAGUAUACAGGUUUAUCAUAUGCUACUGCAGAGUAGGGUGUGAAGAGCAGCAUGGAGAUUCGAAGACACGUAUACUCAGCACGUAUUUAUGUCUGAACUUCUUAAGGAUAUGCAACUGAAUGUAUUGUAUUGGUGGAAACUCUGCCUUUGUUAAGUAUAUUAGUAAUAUUUUUUUUUUUAUUUUAUUGAUAAGCACAACAUACAUCUGUAAUAACAGCAGACACAUACAUGUAUUUAAAUGAGUAAUACUAUGUAUUAAUGUCUCAUAUUUUAGCACAUAGUAUCACACAGUAUCUUUAUCUCUAUUCUAGAUUGUUCCACACCGACAGAGAUCUCUUCAGGUUAACAUUUCGUACAUAUAGUAUGAAUUUAUAUUUUAUGUACAUGUAUAUAUUCCACAUACAUGUAGUACAGAAGCAACAGUAUUUAUCAUGUUCAUAUUGCUAUUAUAGAUUGCUACAUGUACAUGUAUCUCUAUUCUAGAUUAUUCUACACCUUCCAGGACAUUUCUCAGUCAUAUGUAUUUAUUUUAUAUGUAUGAUAUUUCAUCACAUAGCACAGUUUUUAUCAUAUUUAUAUUUAUUCCUGAGUGUUCCACAACCGUCCAAGAUCUCUUCAGGUGUAUAUUUCGUACGGUAUAUUAGAAUUAUAUGAAUUUAAAUGUAUAUAUAUUUCAGCACAAAGUACAUGAAGCACACAGUUUUUAUCAUGUUCAUAUCGCUAUUCUAUUUGCUAUCUCUAUACUAGAUUAUUUUACACAUUCCAGGAUCUUCCAGAUGGACAUUUCUCAGUAUUGUUAUGCAUACAUGUAUAUAUUUAUUUUAUAUCUAUUAUAUUUCAGCACAUAGUACAUGUAGCACACAGUUAUUUAUUGUGUUUAUAUCUUUAGUCUAGAUUGCUUCACACAUGCAGGGCUCUCCAGGUGUAUCGCCACAGGUCAUUUUCUUAUGUAUAUUGCACUACACCUGCUGGAUCGCCACAGGUUAUUUUAUUUAUGUGUAUUGUACUAAGCCUGCUGGAUCGCCACAGGUUAUAUUAUUUUAUUUAUAUAUAUUGUACUACGCCUGCUGGAUCGCCACAGGUAAUUUUAUUUAUGUGUAUUGUACUACGCCUGUUGGAUCGCCACAGGUCGUAUUACCCUGCUGUAUCGCCACAGGUCAUUCAUUCUCUUUAUGUAUACUGUACUACACCUGCUGGAUCGCCACAGGUCAUUCUGUCUAUUUAUGUGUAUUGUACUACGCCUGCUGGAUCGCCACAGGUCAUUUUCUUAUUAUGUAUAUUGCACUACGCCUGCUGGAUCGCCACAGGUUAUUUUAUUUAUGUGUAUUGUACUACGCCUGCUGGAUCGCCACAGGUCGUACUACCCCUGCUGGAUCGCCACAGGUCAUUCAUUAUUUCAGUAUAGUAAUGCAUACAUGUAGGUAUUUAUUUUAUAUGUAUUAUAUUUCAGCACAUAGUACAUGUAGCACACAGUAUUUAUCAUGUUUAUAUCUUUAGUCUAGAUUGCUCCACACAUGCAGGGAUCUCUCCAGGUGUACAUUUCAUACAGUACAGUUAUAUAUAUUAUAUUUCAGGUCGAACCUGCUGGAUCGCUACAGGUCUUUCAUUCUUUUUAUGUAUAUUAUACUACACCUGCUGGAUCGCCACAGGUCGUAUGGUACUUGCUGCAUCGCCACAGAUCAUUCAUUAUCUUAAUGUAUACUGUACUACGCAUGCUGGAUCGCUACAGGUUAAUUUAAUUAUGUGUAUUGUACUAUGCCUGCUGGAUCGCCACAGGUCAUAUUAUCUUUUAUUAUGUAUUAAUGUGUUAUAUUUAACUCAGCUAGUAUUUCCACUUAGACUCUCUUGUUUAAGGAUUACUAAGACUUCCCAGGUUGUUUCUUUUCUUUUAUUUUACAGGAAAAUACAGAUACAGAUAUUAAAACCUUCGUUUUAUCGGAUGAAGACUUCAGAACUUUAUAGCACCGUUAUAUAUAGAAAACAUACCCUGAUGCCUGCCUUCAUAUAUAGUAUAAUGUGUUAGACAACAGUUCAAAUUUUGUUUAUUAACCUAUCGUUUUCGGAUGCAGAAUUCAGAACUAUUAAGCACUGGAAUAUGAGGACAGCAAUAUCUUGAAGCAACUUCAGAACUAUAUAGCAACUGAAUAUAUAAGGAGGACGAUACCUUGAUUCAUGCAUUCAUAGUUAAUGUGUCAGAACUACAGUCACACUUCUUUAAGCAUUAAACGCAAGAAUUUUAACUAUGUAAGACAGAGUUAUUUUAUCCGUCUGGGUUAGAGAGAAGUGAUUACUGUUAUCACUCUUUCAGAACUGGUAGAGGGUUCUUUUUAAAGCACAACAGAAAUGUGUUGUUUUUAAAAUCUUCAGCGGCAGCAGCGGGAAUUGAAGAUCAUAUCAUACAAACACUUGGUAGAUGGUCAUCGGACUGUUAUAUCAGACAUAUAAGAACUGAUAAGAGAGUUAUUUCUAAAGCACAACAGAUAAUGUGUCAUUGUUGAAAUUAAUGUUUUGGUAAUGUUGUUUAUUUUUACAUAUGUGUUUUUAAGCAUUAUUAUUUCUUGGGGGCUUUCAUUCUUUCAUUAAUGAACUCAUUUCAUUUGGCCUUUUUAAUUCCAGGGGAAUCAUACUCCCCCAAUUCAAUAAUACAUCAGAUAGGUUCCUGUCGAGGAACAAAUAGGUAGUUUAAAGUAGUAUUUUUACUACGCUGGGAUCGCCCAGAAGCAAUUAGGUUCAUUCCUGGGGGUCGCCCCAGGAAUUAGGUUCAUUCCUGUCGAGGAACAAAUAGGUUCAUUCCUGGGGAUCGCCCCAGGAACAAUAGGCUCAUUCCUGGGGGUCGCCCCAGGAAAUAGGUUCAUUCCUGUCGAGGAACAAUAGGCUCAUUCCUGGGGGUCGCCCCAGGAAAUAGGCUCAUUCCUGUCGAGGAACAAUAGGUCAUUCCUGUCGAGGAACAAUAGGUCAUUCCUGUCGAGGAACAUAAGUCAUUCCUGGGGGUCGCCCCAGGAAAUAGGCUCAUUCCUGUCGAGGAACAAUAGGUCAUUCCUGUCGAGGAACAAUAGGUCAUUCCUGUCGAGGAACAAUAGGUCAUUCCUGUCGAGGAACAAUAGGUCAUUCCUGUCGAGGAACAUAAGUCAUUCCUGGGGGUCGCCCCAGGAAAUAGGUUCAUUCCUGCCGAGGAACAAUAGGCUCAUUCCUGGGGAUCGCCUCAGGAACAAUUUUUUAAAUUUAUUUUUCUCAUAUUUUGAUUAGUUUGAAAUAUUCAUUUUUUCUCAUAUUUUGAUAAGAUUUUUAAAAUUAAGCCAAAUUUUUUAAGUGAAUGAGUAGCCCCAAGAAAGCCAAUAAUGUAUUAUAGUGUUUAUAGUCUUGCCAUGUAGAAAGAUAUGUACUGUUAUGUUACAGUUUAUUUUAAUAUUAUGUGUAGAUUUAGUAUGUUUUGAUAUUUUAAUAAUAAACAUUAUUCUUAAA